rnacentral:lncRNA from 1 species
GUGGUUCCGGGGAUGCAGCCUCCCACUUGUGUGUGUUCGGGAGAGCGCCCCUCCACCCGUGUGUGUCUGGGGGUGCUGCCUCACGUGUGUCUGGGGGUAGGUGCACGUCUCCACCUGUGUGUGUUCCGGGGGUGCGGCCUCUCCACCUGUGUGUGUUCCGGGGGGGUGCGGCCUCUCCACCUGUGUGUGUUCUGUGGGUGGGGGGUGCGGCCUUUCCACCUGUGUUCUGGCUGGGCCUCCACCUGUGUGUGUUCAAAAGGGCUUUUCCACCUGUGUGUGUGUUCUGGGGUGGAAGGCCUCCACCUGUGUGUCUGGGGGUUUAAGGCUCUUUCCAAUCUGUGUGUGUGUGGGGGGUGCAGCCUCCACCUGUGUGUGUUCUGGGAGGCCUCACCUGUGUGUGUGUACCGGGGUGCGGCUUCCACCCAGCGUGUUCCAGGGGGACGCGGCCUCUCCACCUGUGUGUGUUCCGGGGGGGGAGGCCUCCACCUGUGUGUGUGGUUCCAAGGGAGGAGAGGCGCAGCCCCUCUCCACUGUGCGGUUCGGGGGGUGCGGCCUUCCACCUGUGUGUGUUCCAAGGCCUCUCCACCUGUGUGUGUGUCUGGGUGCUGCCUCCACCCAAAGUGGGUUCCUCGGGGGCUGGGCGGCCUCUCCACCUGUGUGUGUGUUCCGGGGGAGGUGCGCCUCCAUCUUGGUGGGGUGGGGUGGGUUCGGGGAUGGAGCCUCCCACCUGUGCGUGUUCCGGGGUGCAGCCUCUCCAUCUGUGUCCUUGGGGAGGGGAGGGUGCGGCCUUUCCAUCUCUGUGUCCUGUGCGGCCCUUCCAUCUCUGUGUCUGGGGGUUGUGGGCAUUCCAUCCUGUGUCUUGUCUGA